UACCACAAAGUUCCCUUGUCAUCUACCCUGAAAUCCGGGGCUUUAUUUUCUCCGGUCUGCUUGCGGAUUUUUACUAGAUCUUGGUCUGAACUCUGGGCUUCUCGGAUUUUAUCCUCCAAUGUGGGCUGGACACUUAGCCUACGGCUAGCAUUCUAGGGAAUGAUAUGCACAUUCAACUGGGCCAUUUCCUCUCGUAGUCGGGCAUUCUCGGGUCCGGGCUGUCCAUAGGACUUUCUGCAUAGGGCAUCAGCUACCACAUUAGCUUUGCCGGGGUGGUAAUGGAUUUCCAGGUUGUAGUCCUUUAUCAGCUCUAGCCACCUCCUCUGUCUUAAGUUUAGAUCGUGUUGGGUAAAGAUGUACUUUAGGCUCUUAUGAUCGGUGUAGAUUUCACACUUAUUCCCAAUCAGAUAAUGUCUCCAGAUCUUGAGGGCAUGCACUACGGCUGCAAAUUCUAAGUCAUGGGUUGGGUAGUUCUGCUCAUGGGGCUUAAGCUGUCGGGAAGCAUAUGCCACGACCUUCCCAUUCUGCAUGAGGACACAGCCUAAUCCUUGUCGAGAUGCAUCGCAGUAGAUGACGAAGUCUCGCUAGAUAUCUGGCAAGGUCAGCACUGGGGCUGUUGUCAAUCUUCUCUUCAGCUCCUGGAAACUCCGCUCACAUGACUCGGUCCAGGUGAAAUUCUUGUCCUUCCUGAGCAACUCGGUCAUGGGCCGGGCUAUCUUGGAGAAUCCCUCAAUAAACCUCCGAUAAUAUCCAGCUAAACCCAGGAAACUCCUGAUUUCACUAACAUUAGUGGGCUGCUGCCAGUUGGAGACGGCUUCCACCUUCUCAGGAUCAACUGCUACUCCUUCCACGGUCAAGAUAUGACCAAGGAAUGCCACUUUCUCAAGCCAAAAUUCGCACUUGCUGAAUUUAGCAUAGAGUCGGUGGGCUCUCAAUUUUUCCAAGACCACCCGUAAGUGGUGUUCAUGUUCUUGAACACUCCUGGAAUAGAUAAGUAUGUCGUCGAUAAAGACUACGACAAACUUAUCUAAUUCGUCCAUAAACACCUUGUUCAUGAGGUUCAUGAAGUAAGCAGGUGCAUUGGUCAAUCCAAAGGACAUCAUUGUAAACUCAAAUUGACCAUAGCGGGUGACAAAGGCGGUCUUCGGGAUGUCGCUCUCCUUGAUCUUGAGCUGAUGAUACCCCGAUCUCAGAUCUAUCUUGGAGAAAUACUUGGCUCCCUUUAGUUGGUCAAACAAGUCAUCUAUUCUAGGGAGGGGGUACUUGUUCUUAAUGGUGACCUCAUUUAAUGCGCGAUAAUCCACGCACAUCCUCAUACUCCCAUCUUUCUUUUUGACAAAAAGCACGGGGGCUCCCCACGGGGAUGAGCUGGGCCUGAUAAAACCACUCUGUUGCAACUCUCCCAACUGUUUCUUCAGCUCGGCUAACUCUGGGGCUGCCAUUCUAUAGGGUCUCUUGGCUAUAGGGGAGGUUCCGGGGACAAGGUCAAUUACGAACUCUAUGUCUCUGUCAGGGGGCAUUCCAGGUAAUUCUUCAGGAAAGACGUCCGGGUAUUCACUCACUACCGGGACCUCUCCUAAGAUUUUAGUCUCCAUGCUGAACACCAUGGGGUCUGGGCCACUUCCCUUAGUGUGACAGGUCACUUGCACACCAUCUUGAUUGGUCAGGUGCACUACCUUAUCAGCACACCCUAUAUGACUGUCAUGUAGACUUAACCAAUCCAUUCCAAGGAUCACAUCUAUCCCCUUAGACUUAAGUACUACUAGAUCCGCCAGAAAUUCUACCCCACUUAAAUUGAUCCUUACCCGGGAACAGCCUAGUCGACACUGAAUGUCGGCCCCAGGGGUUCGGGUUAAUAGGGGUAACUUUAGUAGUACUAUAGGUAUAUGAUGUUUCUCCACAAAACUUGAGGAUAUGAAGGAAUGUGAUGCUCCAGAAUCAAAAAGUACUGUUGCCAAGACUGAGCUGACUAGGAACUCACCGAGUACCACACCCUGAGCGUCGUGAGCCUCCUGCGCGCCGAUGUGGUUGACGCGGGCUCGACCAAAUGACUGCUGGGGCGGCCUCAUCUGCUGGCUGUUGUUGUUGCUGGGGUUGCCACUUCUGCGGACUGGCACACGGUUAGCUCCUGACAAUGCGGUCCUGGGCCCAGCUACUGAGUUGGACAAGGCUGAUGCUGCUGGCUUGUUGGCAUAGGGGCAGUUGGCGAUGAAAUGCCCUGGCUCUCUGCAGUUGAAGCAUGCCCUACCAUUACUGGUGACCUGACUGGCGCUGCUCUGUGGGGCCUUGAUGGAGUUCUGGCUCCGGAAUGGGGCAGCAGUCUGAUGUGAGCCAGGUGUUUGGGACUGGGUCUGAUAAUGCAUGGGAGCUUGGGAUCUGGGCAAGGGAUGACCGAAGCUCCUUGGCUUCUGGAAUCGGUCCUUCUGGUGUGCCUUGUUUUCCAGGAACCGACGCUUGUUGUCCCUCCGCUCUUCUGCCUUGGCCCUCUCAGUCAAGAUGGCCAUGUUCAUCAAGGUGUUGAAGUCGGGGUAGAUCUGAGGAGUGAGCAGGGUCCUUAACUCCACGUUCAAGCCUUUCUUGAACAUGUCCUGCUUCUUCUCAUCCUUGUCCACCUCCUCUGGUGCAUAACGGGCCAGCUCCAUGAACUGGAAAGUGUACUCCUCCACAGAUCGGUUGCCCUGGUGGAGUUCACGGAACUCAUCCGCCUUGCGCUUCAUGGUGGCGGCGGGGAUGUGGUAGCGACGGAAUUCCGUCACGAACUCAUCCCAGGUGAUAGUGGAGGCAUCCUGGGCAGCCGAGCAGUAGUUCUCCCACCAGGCUAGGGCAGUCCCAGUGAGCUGGUGGGUAGCCAAGAGAACUUUGUCCCUACUCUCACACCCAAAGGGUUCCAGCUUCCUCUGGAUGACGCGCAGCCAGUCAUCCACGUCCAGAGGGUUGACAGACCCGCCAAAAGUAGGUGGCUUGGUCCGGAGAAAGUCCGUCAACUUCUCAUUCAUAUUCUGCCCGCGGGGCCUCUAGCGAGUCACGGCGUUGGCUAAAGCUUCCAGCAGAAGGGUCUGGUUGUUCAUCACUUGAACCAGAUCGAUGACCGGUGGGGGCGGUGGCUGCUGUGUUCCCACUUGGCUUUCUCCCCUUCCUUCUGGCUGGCUUACUUCCUGCUCCUCAGGGAGUACUGCCGGAGGCGGUUCUUGCCUUUCUGGCUGCCUCUCUGCACUAGGGGUGGCAUGGGCCUGGCUUGGGGAAGUCCUGGUGGCACGCUUGGGCGGCAUCUGCAGAUUGAGUGAGACCUCUUUAUGAGAGUAUGAUUUGGAUUUUAGUGAUCUUUAAAGUGGUUAAUUCGCAUUUUCGAAGAGACAGAAUCCACCUCCUGUUGACAAACACACAGACUAACAAGCAACAAACACAAACGAUUUUAUUUAUUUUGCCACGGGGGUACAACACUGCUGGGGUAAGGCCAAAACACGCACUACACGACCGGUUACAACGACACCACUGGAGGGUACAACUCUAACUGCGGACCAUGACGGCUUCAUUCCUCGGGCAAUCCGGGUUGGGCAUACUACUCGCGGGGCGAGUCUUCUCCCUGGACUGAGUGGUCUUCCAUUGGAAGGAGAAGGGCCAGCACCUCAUCCUUCAGAGUCCCGCCCGUGGGAGGGGUCUCGGGAACCACUCCAUCCGACACCUCGGAGUUCCUUUCUGAAGGUGGUGGUGCCGGGGUGGCGUCCGGGCUCUUCCGCUUACUGGGUCCUGGGGCAAUGGGGAUCCCUUCGAGGAUCGGGGCCUCGUCAUCCUCGAUGGCCACCAUCCUCCUUCUGGCACGAAUGGUGAGGUGCGCAUCCUUCAGCUCCUUGGAGUGCCGAUCCUCAACCUCCUUGAGAGCCUCAACGGCAAUGGCCUCGUUGCUUUGAGUGGCCGCGGCUCGGGCUUCGGCAGUGGCUAACUUCACCUGAAGCCUCCUCACCAUGAUUUCUGCGUCCUCGGCCCUACGGAGUUGCUGCUUCAACUUAGCAGCCUGCUCAUCGUAGAGCUCAUCCAAGGUGAGAAGGUAGGCAGCCAUGUGUAGCACAGUGGGGUCAUCCUCGCGCUGUCCACGUCCUUCCAAGGUCCGAACCCGGGCCAGCCAAACCGGGCGGUUCUUCUUGACAGGCGGGUAGAACCUCAUCGGAGUGCGGCCAAUGUGCCUCUCAUAGAUCUGGCACAGGAAACGGAGGGCCUUCCGGGCUGCCACUUGAUAGGUAUCCUUGUGUCGGAAGCCGGUGGCGGUCACGUUCCAUGGCUGGAUAUCCGGAUGGCGGCUGCUCCGCCCGAUGUAGAUAAUCAUCUCACACCGAGGGGUCCCGCGGUCCUUGUACUCCCUGCUGGUGUACUCCGGACGCUCAUAAAUCCCAAGGCGGUCCAUGCAGGCGAACAGCAAUCUGGGAAAACCAGGCUCCUCCAGGCAGUGGCUGUUGACCCAUCCUUCCUCAGCCAUCUGGAAAAGAUCCGGGGCACAAAUUAGUUUUACAAUAGAGCAAAGGUAGGAAGAAAUUUUGUAAUUCUUUUGUUUUGGUCAAAAAGGGCUAAUCCGGUCCUAAGGUCGCGUCCUACUGCCAACGACGGCUCUGAUACCACCUGAAGCGUCCCCACAUAAGUAGAGACUAAAUGUGAUACAAAUAUCAGUCCCAGGAGGCUGAUAACACAUUUAUUCGACAGAUAAUUCAGUUACCGUACAACUCCCGAGGGAGUGGGCGUGAAAGCCACGCAACGAUAAACAGCAAAUAGAUAACGGCGGCUAACCAAGCGACUGCCAAAAGACAGCACUCGGGACUACACGGCAGCAGCAGCAUCUUGGGCAGGGCAACACCACAGGCAGCGUCGGGUGCGGACACAACCUCUACUCGAGGUCUUCUGCGACGAACUCAGGGUCUUCCUCUGUAGCAAUGAAGCAAGGGUGAGUACUAACGUACUCAACAAGUCCAACCCCAUCCACGGAGGGGAUACAAGCAAGAUUAUGCACAAGUAUAACAAGGGUAGGCUAAGGUUUAUUUAGCGGAAAAGCUAAUUUUUAACGCAUGCAGGGGAUCGUUUUCGGAAAGUUUUUUUGUAAAGUUCCCUUUUAUACCCGAAAUACUGAGUGGGGUUGAUCCUACACAAAGGAUCCAAGCUUUUAUCGCUAUCGGACUCCCCGUCCGUCAUAGCGCACGGCACAACUGCCGGACUCUUCUGAAACUCCACACACACACACACAAAAACACACUCAUGACAUUCUUGCCCAAACACUAGUUAUGUGACCAGGCUGUAAUUCGUCCAAUUCCGUGGACAUGGCUACCCGGAUAGGUUUUCACUCUGCAGAGGGUGUACACUUUUCCCACAAGUAGGGUACCGUAGCACAAUCACCUUAGUGACGGUACGGAUCCUAACAAAGCCAUUACCCACCUUAGCUAAGACUGGCUAGUUCUCACGGAACACCCAAGGGGUCCACGGCUGAUUCAGGAGACCGUAACCGGGACUCAAGUCACCAAGAUCUUACUCCUUUUCCAUGGGUUUCCGUUGCUCACCAGCACCCCUGAGGACUAACCAUCCAGCUAGUGGGAUUUAUGCUAAGCCGUUGCCCAUACAACGGUCGAGUGGUUGCACGAUAGUGGAAUUAGGCAAGAUGACACAUUAACUCGGUCCUUAAUUACGACCGGAUGGAUAUCUCCCAACAUUGCUCAACCACCAAGGUACGAGCACAACAACUGGGCAUCCCACACAAGGAACACCCAUCCAUCCCGUCUUCACAUUCCUUUUUCCCCGAACCCAAAAGCCAUUACUCUUACUUGGACACACACACACACCUUGAUUUUCCGAAUACACCAUUGUGAUAAUGAUUGCAUUUGAGUAACAGAUUCCUAAGCGUUCUAGCAGCGGUUAUCAACAAAACAGAGCGAGUCAUAUUUAGAGAUAAGCAUAGGACAACAAGGAAUGUUCAUAUCAAUCAAGGGGUGGCUAUCCAACCAUGUCUUGCGAUAAAGUAAUAUGCAUUUUGUAAAACAGGCCAAUGGGUCGUGUUUGAAAAACUAGGUAUUAAGUAUGCAUCAAAAGGGUGAGAUUGGACUUGCCGUCUUCAAAGCCUUCCGGGAGUUCCGGCUCGCGGUACUGGUCCUCGGGCUCGGGCUCACGAUCAAACUCCUCCUCGGGCUCCUCCUCGGGCAAUCCGCGAUCUACGGCACACACAAACAGGCACACGAAUAAAUAAAAGAGAAAACGAUUUUUAACCGUGAGCUCCGAACAGGAAACGCGAACGGAAAAUAGAUAGAGGGAUUAUUUUUGGGAAAUUUGGAUAUAGAUCGGCGAAAGUAUUCUGGAGGAUGACGUGGUAAAAUUUGGGGCUAAAUGGAGAAAGUUUGGCGCAUGAAAUGACGGGUUAAACACGGAUUAGGGGCUUAAACAGAGGUUUAGGGCUGAUUUUUAAUAAACCAGGGACCUAUUUGUAAUUUAUUUCGGAGGUGGAGGGGCUUAUGUGUAAUUUGGGGAAACUUGGGGGUUAGAUCUAAAAUUAAAGGCAAUCUUCUCCUUCUUCUCCAGGAACUUGGAGAUGGAGAGAGAGAGGGAAGGUGGGCCGGCGGCCGGCCGGCCGGGCGUCGCCGGCGGCGAGCCGGGGGCGGCGGGCGGUGGAGGAAGAGGAGGGGGGCCCGUUUUGCCCCUCACCUUGGGGGGAAAUGGAGAGGAGCGGCCGGGCGGCGUCGACCUUCGGGCGGAGAGGAAGCGGCGGCUUGCGGCGGCGGCGGCGGCGAUUCAGGCGGCGGUGGCGAGCUGGGCGGUGGGGGUGCGGCGGUUGGAGUCCGGCGGGAUGGUGCUUUUAUAGCCCGGCGGCGGGUGGGGGUCCGGGCCAAGGGGGCGCCGGCGGUAUGGCGCGGGGUCGUGCCGCUUGGGGCCGGCGGCGGCAGUGGCCGGCACGGCACGGUGGCGUGCCGGGGCAGGGAGGUAGGGGCCGGAGGCGUGGCGUGGAGUGGUGGCGCGCGGGACCGGGCGACCGGACACCGGGGCGGCGGCGCAGGUGACCCGGGGGCCGGGUCGGGCGCACGGCCCGAGGGGGCGGCGGCGUGGGCGGCGGGCCCCCCCUGGUGAGCGGCUGGCCGGGCCGGCCGCCGGUAUGGCGCCAGGGAACGGGGGGGGGGCGCCGGAGUAAUGAGCUGGGGCCGGCCAGGAGUGGCGCCAGGAAGAGAAGGAGAAGGAGAGAGAAGAAGGGAGGAAGAAGAAAGGAGAAGGAGGAAGAAAGAAGGAAAAAGAAAAAGGAGAAAGGGGAAGAAAAAGAGAAAGAAAAAGGGGAAGACCGGCGGCACUCGCGGCACGCGGUCGGAGCACGCGCUCGGCGUCUGACACCGGCACGCGGCGAGAUUCGCGGGCACAGAUAAAAAGAUAGGUGGGGGUCGGCAUGGGUACCGGGACGGCGAAAUCGCCGGGGAGGUUUCCGAUUUCCGGGAGCUCAGCGGUAAAAGAUUUUAAAGACGGUUUUUAACGGGUGAUUUUAGUUAGUGAUUUUUGCGGGCGUUACAGAGUGCCCCCCGGGCUGGGAAUAUGUUGCCUUCAAAAUCGUUGAGCAUCAUGUCCGUCUUGAUCAAGUCUUCCUCCCCUUUGCCAAGUUUUUGGAACAUGGCAUAUGGCAUGAUGUUCAUUGCUGCUCCCCCAUCCACCAACAGCUUAGUGGCUGGUCGGCUGUCAACUUGCCCCUUGAGGAACAGAGCUUUGAGAUGCUAGCGUUUUUCAUCUUCGAGUUUUUCAAAAGUAGCGGUCAUUGGAUCUAGAGCCAAUUGUGCCAUCUGCUCCUCUAUUUCUGUUACAUUAUCGCAGUCGACGGGAGCCAUGAACUCCAUCGAUAAGAUGAACACCAUGUUGACAUCGGCGGCUGAACCCUGAUUGUCGUUUUCUUCAUCAGCUUUUCUUCUAGGACGCCAGACUUGAGAUUUGACUCCUCUUUUGUCCAACACUCACCUUUGCAUAAGCACUGAACCCUCCUCUUCUGGGAUUUAGUCAAACCAUCUGGGCAACAUAUGAGGUUCACUCGUUUACCUGGCAGCUUAGUGCGUUUCGAAUCCGAUUCCCGCCCCAACGGGUUUUCAUCAGGGACUCUUGCGUCGGCCAUCUCACCCAGCCGAUCAUACGCCCUAGUUCUGCUCCCCAGCCGAUUAUGCUCAUAUACUCUGCCCCCAGCCGAUCACACACUGAAACACGCAAAUCCUCUUGUUCGAGCCUAUUUCUGCUAAUCAGCUCCUGUCCUCGAUCUCCAGAGCAUGACCUUUUGAAUGGGCGAUUGCCACGGUACUAGCCGUUGCACUUAGGGUAGUUUUCAGCCGAUGACAGUCUUAGAUUAUUUUCCCAACAGUGGAUGAAGAACGGAAACCUCCAGUGAUCUUCGUGCUAGUGCAUCAUUUCUUCCCGGCGCCUCGUGUCCUCCCUUUGCCUUUGGUACUUGUUGAGUAGAUCUCGGGACGUGAUAGGCCAACGGAGCCUCUCCGAGUUCUCAUCCUCUAUUUCUGCCUGGCCUUUUCCUUUAACAUCACCGGCUGAGAUCUGAUUCCUAGGGUCCACCAUCCCGCUCCUUCUAGCCGAUUCUGACAUCAGCACCUUGGUCUGGAGUGCGUUCUUUCCGCCAACAUCGACCAUGUUGGCUGGGAAGGGGUGCUGGUCGAUCUUCACCGGUUUUGCUGGCUUUGUGGGGACCUCGAACUUAAGUCUCCCUUGCUCAAAGGCCGACUAUAUCUAUUGAUGGAAGACUUUGCACUCAUUGGUAUCGUGAGAUGUGGUAUUGUGCCACUUACAAUAUUUCAUCUUCUUAAGCUGUUUGAUCGAUGAAAUUGUGUGGUAGGGUGAAAGCUUGAUCUGCCCUUCUUGUAGCAGGAAGUCGAAGAUUUUAUCAGCUUUAGAUGUAUCGAAGCCGAACGUUUCCGGUUCCUUUUUCCCAAAUGGGCAUGAGAUUGGUUUUUUGCCUUUGACCCACUUUGCCAAGCCGAUCUCUGCUUCUUCUUCUGAAUCGGACCCCGUCACGUAUGUCACCUUUUUUCUGGAAGUUUCUUCAUUGAUCAAAGGGGCGUGCCUCCUAGCCGGACAACCGGUGCACUAUCUGGCUCAGACUUUCAAACUCCUGGGAAGCAUACUUUUCUUUGAUGUGCGGUAGGAGUCCUUGAAAAGUGAUAUCGGCCAGCUGACCAUCGGUCAAAAUCAGACUGUAGCAUUUGUUUCUAACCUCUCUAAACCUUUGUAUAUAGCUGGCCACCGACUCGUCGGUUCUCUAUUUGAGGCUAGUUAAAUCUGAAAGCUUCAUCUCGUGGACCCCCACAAAGAAGUACUUGUGAAAUUGUUUUUUCAAAUCGGCCCAAGUGACGAUCGAGUUAGGCGGUAGUGUCAUAAACCAUUGAAAGGCCGACCCGAAUAGGGACGAUGAGAAAAACCGUACCCUCAGAGCAUCUUCUGUAGCACCUUCUCCACAUUCGAUGAUGAAUCUGUUGACGUGUUCCAUCGUAGACGUGUCAUCUUGGCCCGAGAACUUAGCGAAGUCGGGCACCUUGUACCGAUGCGGGAAUGACAACAGGUCGUAAGUGGGUGGGUAUGGCAUCCUGUAUGUAGAGGUCUGCACCUUUGGCUUCAAACCGAACUGAUCUUGUAUUAUAUCAGCUAUUCUCAUAGUACAAUCCACCUGCUGCUGCUACUGUUGAUGUGCAAUUGGCUGAGCCAUCGGCAUAUGCUGUUGAACUUGCGGCACCGUGAUUGGGUGGAAGAUUGGAGCGUGCUGCAGAUCUUGCAGCUGGACUGUUGGCUGAGGAGCCGAUGGCUGCUGACAAGUGGGAUCCGCGUGUCGUAGCGCAUCUGCUGCCUCAUCGUAUAAUACCAUUGGCGCUGCAGUUCUAAGAGAGUCUUGGGCGCUUGCCCCUCUGCCAAUUUCUGGAGUAGCUUGUUGAUAUUGCAGGACUGUCGGCCGAGAGGCCGAUGGAAAUGACAUCUGUAUCAGAGAUUUUGGGGCGUGAACUCCUGAAGGCACCCCGUAACCAGUGGAUGGGUCUAGAUCGGCAGAUGUUCCCGCUGUUCCCUACUAUGCCGACGUUAUUAACGGCGAUUACAUGAAAAGGACAGGUGUAGAGUGAGACAGCACUUGCGAUUGGAAAGGUGGUGCACCACUAUAACCUAGGGGCAAUGUCGUGUUGUACCCCCCGCCCUGCAUCUGUAUCGGCUGAGGAGCCGAUUGGAACAUAUUGGGUGCCACCAAAAAGUUUCUGACCGGUGCGCUGAUAGGAGGGGCGUAAGCCGGUCCCUGAUACCCCUGUGCCGCACCAUUGGCCAUGGAGCUGAUGACGGCGUUGUACACCGUGUGAGUCAUCACCUUGGACUGAUCAAUCAUAGCCUGAUAAACAGACUGCUGGAUCAUCUCGGACAUCUUUCCCGAGUCUUCGGCGAUGGUGAUCUAGCGAGGAGUUGAAAGAACGGACUUUUUGAUGGGUUCUCCGCUUCUGGUAUGACUGUAGGAUUGCAGGCAUGCCUUCUUGAAGGUUUCCAUAGCCUUUGCCAACUCAUCCCUCUGGUCGUCCUUGAGAUCUGCCUCGAUGAUUUCAAUGACGUUGUCUUCCGAGACUUCAGCAGCCUUCGACAUAUUGGUUUUUGCUCCUGGUCCCACCGGGCGUGCCAAAAGUGUGUUAACGCUAAAAACCGGAUGAUGACUUCGGCUCCGGCAUAGGACACACGACCCGGGAGAAUCUGCUUAGUUCCUGUUUGGGUUAUCGCCCUAGUGCGAUUCGCGCAGCGUGCCAGUCAAUCUGACCUGUUGAUUAACAAGGAAAGAAAUGUAUUAAAUUCCAAAAGGAUGUAUCAGCGAAUUGGCCGAAUUAGUAUAAAGAUAACCAGCUAUGAAAUAGCCGAUGAUCACGUAGCAAUUGUAAAAGAAACUACUAGAGUAACCUAAACAAUGCUAUAGAGACAACACUUAGAACAGAUCUAAUCGGCUAUAUGAUAAUAAACAAAAUAUUGAUAAAGCCGACAGUUCGUAUCUCAAGCUAGAUAACUGGUGAUAAAAACUAAAAUAACAGGUAAAACCUAUAAUUCUAGUAAAUAUCGAUAACUGGUGAAUAAAUCUAAACAAAACAACAGCGAUGCACCCGAAGUUAAAGCUUAGAUAUUACUCGAUACGCGGAACUUACAAAUUGGCCGAAGGUUGUAUUGAUGUAGCCCUGCCGACUCAUGAAAAUAAAAAGUGUUUGACGAAGUCGCCGACUUGAAAGUAAAGUUACAUGAAAAAGUAGAUUCGUAUUGAUGACUGUUGUGUUUUUUUACAAGCCUUACAAGGCACCUAUUUAUACCCUGCUACAACUGAUUUCCUAACCGACUAUGAUUUUAUCUCUAAUUCAAAAUAACAAAUAUUUACACACGAAUACAACCCGUAUUGGAGUCGAGCACUAUUCAACUUUUCUAUGAGCCAAUCGUCAUCUUCAUUUGGUCACCGCCUUGGCCCAUUUUAGGCCCACAUCGGCCAAACUGCUCUAGCUCCCAAUCGGCCAGUCUUCACUGACUCCCUCGGCUAAUCGGCCGAAACACUGUAGCUCUAUCGGCUGAUUCCCCCAGCCACAGCUUCUUGCUUAUCCGUAUCGGCCACUUUUCUUUUCUUGAUGUCGACCUUAACACGUGUCAAAAACCGGCGUCAACACUUUCAAAAAAGGGCCAAAAAACAAAAAAGUUGGGAAGAUCGAUGGGGUGGAGAGAUGGUCGUCGUUGGGCCAUGUCACCACCCAAGAUCCGCAGCGCCUUCAUGUGGGCUCCCUGCUGCUGUUGGCCUCCAACAUGAACCACCACCGCUUGUCCCUGAUGUGCCGCCGCCGCUUGUCCCCGAUAAGCGAGGAUAUGGGUUCGAUUCCUCGAUAUAGGCUGGAGGGGGUCAGGAGAAAGGAAAGGUGUAUGCGUGAUUGAUGCAAGCGCGAUUCACGGGACGAUCAUGGAUGAGAGAGGAUGCGAGAUUGGAGGUGGCGACAUUGGGCAGAUUGGAGGCGGCGACAUCAGGUGGGUACGUGCGGGCGGGCGGCGGCGCAGGGUACGGGGAAGGAUGGGGGUAGAAGAGGAAGGAAAGUCGAACGUGAUUUGGCGGGAGUGAGGAGCAGACCUUGCGUGCGUGUACGUCGGACGGGGAAUGACGAGUGGGACCGAUGGGUACACAGGGCGGUGUCAACGAGCGGGAUUUAGAACAGUGGGAUUACGGCAAAAUAAAUCUCCCCUCUCAUCGUAAUCUUGUGUAUGGGAACACCUGAAUAGUGGACCUUUCCUGAGGGGUACGUGGGUAUAAGGGAGUGUUUGGUUCCACGAACUAAAGUUUAGUCCCAGUCACAUUGAAUGUUUAGAUACUAAUUUUGGAGUAUUAAACAUAGACUAAUUACAAAACCAAUUCCACAUAUGGAGGCUAAUUCGCGAGAUAAAUCUAUUAAGCCUAAUUAGUUCAUGAUUAGCACAUAUUUAUUGUAGCAUCACAUUAUCAAAUCAUGGACUAAUUGGGCUUAAUAGAUUCGCGAGAGUAUCACAUUGUCAAAUCAUGGACUAAUUAGGCUUAAUAGAUUUGUCUCGCGAAUUAGCCUCCAUCUGUACAAUUGAUUUUAUAAUUAGCUCAUGUUUAGUCCUCCUAAUCAGUAUCUAAACAUUCGAUGUGAUAGGGACUAAACUUUAGUCUGUAGAACCAAACGCCCCCUAACUCUGGGUGGAAAUUGACAUCAAUUCUCUCACUCUUUAUAGUAUUGUUUAAUUUUUAUCAUAAUCCCUCCAUCCUGAAAUAUUAGGCAUCUUGAAUACUUUUGAGUAACUGGUAGUUGCAGAUAAUAACAAACUUAUUUUUUAUAAUAAUUUAUCGAUCAGUCAUCUUAUGUUGUUAAUUAUAAAAAGAAUUAAAUGGUAAUCUUCCAAACGUGCCUACAAUACUUUAUAUUUGAGGAUAAAUUUUGAACGCUUGGAUGUCUGAUAUUACAGGAUGGAGGGAGUACGUAUGAGGUGUUUCUUCACGUCUUAAUGUUUGGUUCUUUCUUUUCUACACACUUGAUUGUUUGUUGAAUAUUUAUUAUUUUCCUUUUUUCUACGCACUUGGUUGCGUAUCCCUGAAUCCCUUCUUUUACUCACUUGAUUACCAAAUUAGGGGAAGUGAUUUGAAACGGAAACGAGGCGGCGAUUGAUGGAUAGGAGGAACGGGCCAACGUUGAAGGCAGAGAGUACCGUCGUGACGAUGAUCUACCAGUGAGGGAGUAAAAGUCACAUUGUUUUGACAUGACAUCUCUGGCACGAAGGGAGAGAGAAACUUCGUAGCUAAGGGGCUGUUCGCUUACAUGGACUAAAAUCUAUUUCAAAUCGAAUAUUCAAAUGCUAAUUAUCUGACGAAAUAUGAGCUAAUUAUAAAACUUUACACAUAUGGAGGUUAAUUUACGAGAUAAAUCUAUUAAACCUAAUUAAUCAAUCAUUAGCAAAUUGUUACUAUAGCAUCAUAUUAUCAAAUCAUGAACUAAUUAGGCUUUAUAGAUUCGUCUCGCAAAUUAGUCUCCAUCUGUGCAAUUGAUUUUGUAAUUAGUCUAUGUUUAAUACUUCUAAUUAGUACCUAAACAUUUGAUGUGACAGGAACUUUAGGACUAAAGAACCAAACACCCUGAGGCUGCAUUCUCUCUCCUCUUCUUGGUCUUAUCCGAAAUUACAAUCAUGCCACGCAAAUAAUGACCCGACCGUAUAUACUCCAUCCAGCUCUUGGAUGCUUUAUAGAACUAGGAUCGUGCCCGUGCGUUGCUACGGGCAACAAAAUUUUUAUAUUGUAAAAUAUUGGAUUCAACAGGAUAAUAAAAAUAUAAAACAUGUAUAAAUAUAAAAUAAGUAUAUCAUCCAAGAUUGGAUUCGUGAAAUAAAUAUAAAACAGGUCAUCCAAAUGCCACCCCAUCUAUCCUAUUUUUUUUUUGCAUGUGAUGCACCAAAGAAAAUGUUUUACAAUGCCUGGUAGUCUUGUCCUACAGGCAUUCGCUUCGUGCGCCAGAAGAUAGAUGAAAAACGCUUUGUUCCAAUAGCAUCAAUUUCAUCAAUUAAAAUAUGAUGCAGAGGGCUUUCUCCUUGGCAAGCUGAAAAGCAUCUCGAACAAGCUUGGCUCCAUCACCGAUGAACAUCUGCAACAGUUCACAAAAAUGUUGUUAUUUACUGGUGCAUGCUGUUUGGACCCAGCAACAUUUCACAGAACAUGGUUAACCAUUAUGAGGCAAAUAAUGGAUCCAAAACAUAUCCUGAUCUAAUGCAAUACCCAAAAUGUCAUCAUUAGACCCAAAAACAUUGCAGAGUUUGCAGUGGAAAUCAAAGUUUUCACACAGCAGAAUUAAGUAAAUAAGUUGUUUAUUACUUUAUCAGGACCAACUGUAACCCUUCCAUCACGCAAAAAUGAAGUGUUAAAAUGAUUUUAGUAGAGAAUCGAUAUGAUAUUUGAGUGCAUUCAAAUUUGAAAUGCAAGAUAAUCCUGGAAUUGCUGUCAACAUCUCUUAACAUAAAAGUACCUGAACAAGUUGCGGACCAGCCAGUUUUAGAAAGUGCAUUAAACUGACCUAUCACCGGCAAACUCCCUCUUUUCGAUAUCAAACGCAUCCAUACCAACAUACAUGAAAAGGAAAAUCUCAGCAAUGAAGGACAAAGUUGCAAAGGCAUGCCUGAGUAGAUAAAAAAGUCCAAAGAAAAUCAAUUGGUAUCUUUUUAUUUAACUUGCUAUGAACAUUACUGGUGGAAUAAAUUAUGGAGUGAGUAUGAUUACUUGGUUGUCACUCUUGAGCUCUUUGUCACAUUAUGCCAAGUGUAGUGUGACAUCACAGUACCACAGAAAAACACAGUGAAAAUGCCACUCAAGUCUAGCAACUGCCAAGACCAAAGAAACAUGAAAUUGAUGAGUUAAGUAUUUUAAAAAAAAUAAAUGAAAAGUGUAAGACACGCACGAAUAAUCAUUAUAUUACCUCACCUAAGGUGUUAGAACCUCCUUGUAUACAAUAUUCUUCGUAUACGUGCCAUCUACUGUUGGUACCCU
rnacentral:lncRNA from 1 species